rnacentral:lncRNA from 10 species
GGAUAAAGGAAAUGUGGAACUACACACAAUGGAAUAUUAUUCAGCCAUAAAAGAGAAUGAAAACAUCUAUCAUUUGCAACAACAUGGAUGGAACUGGAGGACACUAUGUUAAGUGAAAUAAGCCAGGCACAGAAAAAAAAUUUCGCAUAUUCUCGCUCAUUAUGUGGGAGCUAAAAAUUAAAACAAUUGAACUCAAUUGUUCAUUAAAACAAUAGAAGGGUACUGGGGAGGGGUAGAAAAAGUGGGGAUGGUUAAUGGGCAGAAAAAUAUA